rnacentral:lncRNA from 1 species
CGGCUACGCUGGCAGUCAGCGGUGAAGUUCUCACUGCAGAUCUUACAGGUGGUGUUUGAACUGUAGCUUCUCUCCAGGUCGAAGUAGCAGCUGACACAAGUCCACGCCUGGAUGUGGGUGCAUGGAUGUCGGCAUAGUCAUCUGCCAGUUCUGCAGCAGCCCUAGCAUUUUUUGGCUUUCUUUCCAAAAUCCACUCUCGUACAUUAGGGCUCCGGGUCUGCAAGAACUGCUCCAGGACCAUUAAGGGCUUCAUAGGUAGUAGCUUGUACUCCUGUUACCCAUUGCCGGAACGUGGUUUCUAAUUGUGCAAUAUAUAGAAUGCAGCUGGAUGAUGGGCAUUGCUGCAUACUCCUAAACUUUUUCCUGUAAGACUCAGGAGUAAGGUUAAAAGUUUUU